rnacentral:rRNA from 1 species
UACGUAGGGCGCAAGCGUUAUCCGGAAUUAUUGGGCGUAAAGAGCUCGUAGGCGGUUUGUCGCGUCUGCUGUGAAAGACCGGGGCUCAACUCCGGUUCUGCAGUGGGUACGGGCAGACUAGAGUGCGGUAGGGGAGAUUGGAAUUCCUGGUGUAGCGGUGGAAUGCGCAGAUAUCAGGAGGAACACCGAUGGCGAAGGCAGAUCUCUGGGCCGUAACUGACGCUGAGGAGCGAAAGCGUGGGGAGCGAACAGG